rnacentral:rRNA from 1 species
GAUGAACGCUGGCGGCGUGCCUAACACAUGCAAGUCGAACGGACUUACAUUGAAGCCUAGCGAUAUGUAAGUUAGUGGCGGACGGGUGAGUAACGCGUGGGUAACCUGCCUUGUACUGGGGGACAACAGUUGGAAACGACUGCUAAUACCGCAUAAGCGCACAGCUUCGCAUGAAGCAGUGUGAAAAACUCCGGUGGUACAAGAUGGACCCGCGUCUGAUUAGCUGGUUGGUGAGGUAACGGCCCACCAAGGCGACGAUCAGUAGCCGGCCUGAGAGGGUGAACGGCCACAUUGGGACUGAGACACGGCCCAAACUCCUACGGGAGGCAGCAGUGGGGAAUAUUGCACAAUGGGGGAAACCCUGAUGCAGCAAACGCCGCGUGAGUGAAGAAGUAUUUCGGUAUGUAAAGCUCUAUCAGCAGGGAGAAGAAAUGACGGUACCUGACUAAGAAGCAACCGGCUAAAUACGUGCCAGCAG